AACGAACGCUGGCGGCAGGCUUAACACAUGCAAGUCGAGCGCCCCGCAAGGGGAGCGGCAGACGGGUGAGUAACGCGUGGGAACGUACCCUUUGCUACGGAAUAGCUCCGGGAAACUGGAAUUAAUACCGUAUGUGCCCUACGGGGGAAAGAUUUAUCGGCAAAGGAUCGGCCCACGUUGGAUUAGCUAGUUGGUGGGGUAAUGGCCUACCAAGGCGACGAUCCAUAGCUGGUCUGAGAGGAUGAUCAGCCACAUUGGGACUGAGACACGGCCCAAACUCCUACGGGAGGCAGCAGUGGGGAAUAUUGGGCAAUGGGCGCAAGCCUGAUCCAGCCAUGCCGCGUGAGUGAUGAAGGCCUUAGGGUUGUAAAGCUCUUUUACCGGAGAAGAUAAUGACGGUAUCCGGAGAAGAAGCCCCGGCUAACUUCGUGCCAGCCGCCGCUGUAACAC
rnacentral:rRNA from 1 species